GCAAACUCCGCUAGGGGUAGGUACUUUGCCCAACUCCCUUCCCAAUCCAAAACACAAGCUCUAAGCAUAUCCUCCAAAGUCUGAAUCGUCCUCUCUGACUGACCGUCUGUCUGCGGGUGAUACGCCGUACUCAUAUGCACUUUCGUCCCAAGCGCCUUCUGGAAGGCUCUCCAAAAGUCAGACGUAAACUUUGUAUCUCGAUCUGAUACAAUGCUGACAGGAACUCCAUGCAAUCUCACAAUCUCGUUGAUGUAACUCUGUGCUAACUGAUCAGCUCUGUCCGUCUUCUUAAUAGCUAGAAAAUGGGCUGACUUGGUAAGUCUAUCCACGAUUACCCAGAUGGCAUUCUUUCCUCCUAAGGUGGUUGGCAACCCCGUCACAAAAUCCAUAGUUACCAUGUCCCAUUUCCACUCUGGCAAUGGCAGGUUCUGCAAUAACCCGCUAGGCACCUGAUGCUCGGCCUUGACCAUCUGACACGUCUGACACUGCGAUAUAAAUGAAGCAACAUCCCUCUUUAUGCCAGGCCAAUGAUAAUAACGCUUGAGAUCCUUGUACAUCUUGGUGUUUCCUGGAUGAAUAGAGAAACGCGAGUGGUGUGCCUGCUGCAAGAUUUCCUUUUUUAACAACUCAUCAUUAGGCACACAAACCCGGUUCCGAUACAUGAACAUCCCACUCGAAGCUGUAUGAUAUCCAAUACUCUCAAUCUCGAUCUGCUUACACAAAGCCUUAUCUGCAUCCUGAGCCUUACGCACUUUCCAUAACAAAUCUGCUUGCUCCACAGCCUCGAGGCCAACUGCCUCUCCCUCUACAGUAACUGCACAUAAUCUUAGACUAGCAAGUGUCCCAGUAAGCUCCUGGACCUCUUUGGUUCCCGAUAUAUCGCUUCUGCGCCUACUCAAGGCAUCCGCCACAUGAUUGGCUUUUCCCGGGUGAUAUGUGAUCUCCAAAUUGUAGUCUGCUAACAACUCCAUCAAUCUACGCUGCCUCAAAUUCAAGUCCGUUUGCGUAAAUAUGUACUUCAGACUCUGGUGGUCCGUGAAAAUCUUCACCUUCUCUCCAUACAAGUAUGACCUCCAGAUUUUUAAUGCAAAUACAACUGCUGCCAACUCCAAAUCAUGAGUAGGAUAAUUGGCCUCGUGAGGCCUCAACUGUCGUGAUGCAUAGGCAAUGACCUGACCUUCCUGCAUCAGUACACAUCCCAAUCCGGUGCCUGACGCAUCUGUGUAAACAUCAUAUGGUAUCCCUGGCCUUGGGAGUACCAAAACUGGCGCAUGGGUCAGUUGUCGCUUCAACUCAGUGAAACUCCCCGAACAUUCCUCUGUCCAAUCAAACUCGGUGUCUUUUCCUGUUAGUCGUGUCAUUGGCUUUGCAAUGCUAGCAAAAUUGUUGACAUACUUUCUGUAGUAUCCUGCCAAACCGAGAAAACUGCGGAUCUCCGUCGCAUUCUUAGGUGUCGGCCACUCUGAAAUGGCGCUAAUCUUCUCCUGAUCUACGGCAACUCCCGCUUCUGAAACCACGUGACCCAAAAAUCCAAUCUUCUUCUGCCAAAAGCUACACUUGCUCAGCUUGGCAAAUAACUGAUGUUCCCGAAGCUUACCCAACACAAUCCGCAAAUGUUCAGCAUGCUCUCCUCUACUCCGAGAGUAAACCAAGAUGUCAUCUAUGAAAACGAUCACACACUUAUCCAAGUGCUCACGAAAUACAUCAUUCAUAAGCUUCAUGAACGCGGCUGGUGCGUUUGUCAACCCAAAUGGCAUCACCACAAACUCGUAAUGUCCAUAACGGGUACGGAAUGCCGUCUUCCGCACAUCUCCCUCAGCUAUUGCAAUCUGGUGGUAUCCCGAUGCCAAGUCAAUCUUAGAGAACCAUGAAGCUCCCUGCAACUGGUCCAACAACUCGUCGAUACGCGGGAGCGGGUACUUAUUCUUGAUGGUCACUUUGUUCAAACCUCUGUAAUCUAUACAAAGUCUGAAACUCCCAUCUUUCUUCUUCACAAACAACACUGGUGCUCCCCACGGUGACGUGCUUGGCCUGAUAAACCCCUUAUCAGAUAGCUCCUCCAAUUGUUUCUUUAACUCUGCCAUCUCAGUUGGUGCGAGACGGUAUGGAGCUCGUGAAAUUGGUGCUGCUCCUGGCUCUACUUCUAUUGUAAGAACGUCCGCUCUAGCUGGUGGUGGCCCUUUUAAAGGCUCAAAAACAUCCUCGUACUCGGCGACCACUGAUAUAUCAUGCAGCUUCUGCUGACCGUCCUCCUUAGCCAUCGAAAUUGUUGCCAAAAAUCCCUCUGCUCCACUUUCCAAUAAUUCUUCUGCACGCAACAUGGAUACGAUAGGAAUUUCCCGGUGUGUCUGAAUUUCCUCGCAAAUGAUCUUUCCUUCUUCUCUAGGGAUAUUAACUCUUGCCUUCGGACAAUCCAAGAUUACUCGAUGUCGCGACAGCCAAUCCAUCCCAAGUAUAACAUCGUAGGAGCUCAUCUCUAUCUCCGUCAAAUCUCCGAGCAACUCGACUCCUCCAAGUAGAACUGGUACAUCGUGAUAAAUGCCAACUGCACCCAACUUCUCCGUGCCGACAGUCUGGAUCUGCUUAGCCUUCGGUUCAAAGACUCCCCGAAAAGACCAAGACUGGACUAAGCGCGGACUCACAAAACUAUGAGAGGCUCCCGUGUCGAAUAAGGUGUGAGCUGACUUUCCUCCAACCGAAACCGAUCCCGCUAUCGGCUCAGCUCCCUGGGGAUCUCCAAUUGCAAAGACCCGUGGAGCGAUGGCUGGACGCUUCGGUGGUGGUGGAAGCGCUGCAUUGCCUCUCCUCGGACAAUCUCUGUAGAUGUGACCCGGCUGGUUGCAGCCGUAACAGUUCCUCGCUGCCACUGCUGGUGCUACUGCUGCUGCUGGUGUUGCAACCUGAGUUCGUGGUGGCUUCCUACAGUUCUUCGCAAGAUGCCCAAACUGAUCGCAAUUAUAGCACUGGAAACAUUCCCCAAAAUGGUGGCGACGACAACGCCCACAACGGGGUGCUCCAGUCUGCUCCCAAGGCCUCUUCUGCGACCCCGAAGCCCCUCCUGCCUUAGGCUGAACUGCUUUGGAGAACUUCUGCUCCUCACCCAUACAUUUCUCCUGCACAGCCGCCUUCUCUACCAGAUCCUCCAAACUGGUGUAGGUAACCACACUGCACCUACCACGAAGCUCUACUCGCAUCCCAUCUAAGAACCUCCUGAUCAGAUCCUCCUCAUCUAUGUUGUUACCCACAAAUCUGCGGAGUUGGUUAAACUCCCGCUCAUACUCCCUGACAGACUUUGCACCCUGCCUCAAAUGCUCGAAAUCAUUCUUCUUCUCAUGCAAAGCUUCCCUCGGAAAAAUACUUCUUGUUGAACGCGUAAAGAAAAUCAUCAUAUGUCAGCUCGCCACGGUGCAUCAAUCUCACUCCAUCCCACCAGAUUGAUGCAUCUCCGCGCAAAUACAACUCAGCGAUGUUUAGCUUGAGCCUUGGUGGGCACGAGAUGGUCUUCAAACACUUAUCCAAAUUGUGCUUCCAAUCGUGAGCAACUGUAGGUUCCGUCGUUCCAGUGAAAUGCUCCAAACUCACAUACUUCAUCUGUCCCAACACCCUGAUAAAUGUCUCAUCAACCUCGGGCACCUGAACUGGGAAAGCAGGUGGCGGCGGUGGAACCUGAAAAACUCCUGGAACCGGCUGAACAGGAACCUGAGGGUACUGCUGGACUGGAGCCGGCUGAUGUGGAACCUGAUGAUAAUGCUGAACCUGAACUGGUGGAGCCUGCUGCAUGCGAAUCUGCGGACCCUGCUGUACUGCAGCCAUCUGUCUGGCAACCUCCUGAGCAGCUAUUCGGGCAGCCUCCUGGGCAGCUUGCUGGACUGUCUCCUGUGCAGCCUGCCUAGCCGCAUCCUGAACCAUCUGUCUCAAAGCAUCCCGAUCAAUAGGCGGAGCCGCCUGCUGCGGAACUGCGGGCUGGACAUGCUCAUCCUCAGCCCUUCUAGCAACUCUGGGAGUCUGAGUACGAACAACUCUCUUCCUGGGCGCCAUCUAAGGAAAAGCGAAAAAGUUAACUUAUGCCGAUCUGUGGUUACCAACAUUUAAGAAGGAGUGAUACCGAACGGAAAUGUGCUAUUUAUUUUUAUUUUCAAAGUUCCCAAAUCCCCGAAAAUAUUUUGAAAUCGUCUAAAAUCGUUUAAACCGAAUAAACCAAGGUUUCCAAAAUCGCCAUCCCGGGUCGGAGCCGGGACGGAACCCGCUCUGAUACCAAAUUGUGACACCCCGAUUUACAUAAUAAAAUGUUACGAUAAGUAAAUAGCUCUGAUACCAAAAUGUGACACCCGCCACUUUCAAAAUAAAAUAAAUUGAUAAAAGCGGUAAAAGCGAUAGAAGCCCAAAAGCCCAAUAAUAGUAAAAGCCCAAAAGCACCGGUCCGGUAUAAUCACUCCUGCUCGUCGGUCUCACCUGAAAGGGGGAAAGAAGGAGGGGUGAGCGACAGGGGAAUCGCUCAGUGAGGUAUGGGAUGCUAAACCGCAAACCACUGACUCAGUUCAUAGCACUACAACUAUGUAGGCAUAGUUCUAGCAUGAGACAAUCACGGUGCCUAUUACACCACACAGAACAAUCACAUAUGUCUAGUGGACUAGACAUGAUACAACCAAUGCGAUAAUAGCAUAUCACAUUUCCUCAUAAGGAUAUAUAUACUUUACAGGCGUCGCUAGCACAGUAGUCCACACUGCACCCCGCAAAUCUCUAAGGCGUCGUAAGUACAAACGUCUCUGUACCCCCGCAAAUCUCCACAAACAUGGCAGCCAGUGCAAACGUCUCUGCACCCCGCAAAACUCCUCAAACAUAGGCAGCCAGUGCAAACGUCUCUGCACCCCGCAAAUCUCCAAAACAUGGACUCGUAUAUAUAUACAUAUAUAUAACAAUUCUUAACAUCAAUCAUUUCAAUCAACCGUUGAAUCCUCUAUUAUCCUAUUUCCGGUUUAACAAUCAAUAAUAAUAAUAAACAAGCAAGACUCUCAAAAAGACUCGAUUCACAGAGACGGAUCAUGUUUCGAAACUAAACUUUCCAUAACGGUAGUACUAAACUAGCUCGGGAUUUAACGGAGUAGCCCUCACCUUAGCAAUGAAGAGAAGUGGUAUAUAUGAACUCCAGCUGCUCAAAUGGACUCCAAAUCUGAAAUCAGAUCGAAAUUUCGAGUCAGAACGCCUUUCGAACGGUUUAAAACGGGUAUUUACGGAAAAGUCAACCCGCUGGUCAAAGAUCAAUUAUUUAAUUAAUUAAUUAAUUAAUUAAUAAAUUAAUUAAUCCGGUUUAUCCUAACCGAUUUCCAAUUGAUUUUAACCGACCGGUUUAACCUAACCGAAUUGAAAUCAAUUUAAACCGGCUAACCAAUCGGUUAACCGAGUCAACCGAGUUGACUCACCGGGUCGACUCGGCCGAGUUGGCGAGUCGCCGGCGAGUCACCGGUGUCGGUCAUCGGCGGCGACGGCGGAGCUACGGCGGCGGAUUACCGGUAAGUUGGCCGGCGGCGACGGCGGAGCUGCGGCGGAGAACGGUGGUCCGGCGGCGGCGCUGCGGCGGAGGACGGUGGUCCGGCGGCGGCGCGUGGAACUCACGCGCGCGCGGAGGUGAAACUUCCGGAGGCGCGUACGGCUUCGUCCGGGCUCCGAUCGUGACGCGGUUGGUGUCUACGGCUUCGUCUUGACGAGAGGAACACGAUGAUGGCCUUGGAUGCACGAGAUUCACUACGGUUAGAAAGUUAUGACCGAUUUACUAAAACGAGCGAAACAUAACUCAAAACAUGGCGGUUUCCGGUUACCUCGAGCUGCGGUUGAUGGUGAUGACGAGCUUGACGACGUCCUGGCGUGCGGUGGCUCCGGCGACGAGCUCAGGUGAGCUUUCUCUCUCUUUCUCUCUCUCUUUCUCUCUCUCUCUUUCUCUCUCUCUCUCUCUCUCUCUCUUUAAAGAAGUUGGAGAUGGUGGAGAUAAUGGAGAUGGUGGGGAUGGUGGAGAUGGUGGGGAUAGUGGAGAUGGUGGGUCAUUACAAUUCUCCCCUACUUACAAGGAAUUCGUCCCCGAAUUCAAUUCAUAAGCUGUCAUGCCCAAUGUCAACCCGGAAAAGCUCCGGAUAAUCAAUCCUCAUCUGGGGCUCGGACUCCCAAGUCUCCUCCUGAAUACCAUCUCUCUCCCAACGAACUUUGACCAACAUAGUCAUCAUACCAUCAUCUGCUCUCACUUGGCGAUCCAAUAGCUCUACUGGCUGACACGGCGCACGCAAAUUCCUACCAAGGUCACUGGGCGGCUGCUGCAAAAUGAGCUCUGGUUCUCUCACGACUUUCCUCAAAACUGAAACAUGAAACACGUCAUGGAAAUCUGAUAACUCUUCGGAUAAAUCCAAUCGGUAAGCAACUGCUCCAAUUCGCUCCAAAAUGGGAUAUGGUCCCAUAUAUCUCGGUUUAAGCUUCUUCAGCUUCCGAGUCUUAGAUCCUCCCUGAAAUGUCCUCAUUUUCAGGUAUACCAGGUCGCCAACCUGGAACUCCAAAUCUUUACGCCGCUUAUCUGCAUAACUCUUCUGACGGUCAUGGGCUUCCCUAAGCCGUAUCUUAAGCAUCUCAACCUGCUCAACUGUUUCUUGAACCAUUGCAGGUUCUAUCUCACGUCGCUCCCCCACUUCGGUCCAACAAAGCGGUGUGCGACAAGGCCUACCAUAAAGGGCCUCAUAUGGCGCCAUCUUAAUGCUCGAGUGAUAACUAUUAUUGUAGGCAAACUCCGCUAGGGGUAGGUACUUUGCCCAACUCCCUUCCCAAUCCAAAACACAAGCUCUAAGCAUAUCCUCCAAAGUCUGAAUCGUCCUCUCUGACUGACCGUCUGUCUGCGGGUGAUACGCCGUACUCAUAUGCACUUUCGUCCCAAGCGCCUUCUGGAAGGCUCUCCAAAAGUCAGACGUAAACUUUGUAUCUCGAUCUGAUACAAUGCUGACAGGAACUCCAUGCAAUCUCACAAUCUCGUUGAUGUAACUCUGUGCUAACUGAUCAGCUCUGUCCGUCUUCUUAAUAGCUAGAAAAUGGGCUGACUUGGUAAGUCUAUCCACGAUUACCCAGAUGGCAUUCUUUCCUCCUAAGGUGGUUGGCAACCCCGUCACAAAAUCCAUAGUUACCAUGUCCCAUUUCCACUCUGGCAAUGGCAGGUUCUGCAAUAACCCGCUAGGCACCUGAUGCUCGGCCUUGACCAUCUGACACGUCUGACACUGCGAUAUAAAUGAAGCAACAUCCCUCUUUAUGCCAGGCCAAUGAUAAUAACGCUUGAGAUCCUUGUACAUCUUGGUGUUUCCUGGAUGAAUAGAGAAACGCGAGUGGUGUGCCUGCUGCAAGAUUUCCUUUUUUAACAACUCAUCAUUAGGCACACAAACCCGGUUCCGAUACAUGAACAUCCCACUCGAAGCUGUAUGAUAUCCAAUACUCUCAAUCUCGAUCUGCUUACACAAAGCCUUAUCUGCAUCCUGAGCCUUACGCACUUUCCAUAACAAAUCUGCUUGCUCCACAGCCUCGAGGCCAACUGCCUCUCCCUCUACAGUAACUGCACAUAAUCUUAGACUAGCAAGUGUCCCAGUAAGCUCCUGGACCUCUUUGGUUCCCGAUAUAUCGCUUCUGCGCCUACUCAAGGCAUCCGCCACAUGAUUGGCUUUUCCCGGGUGAUAUGUGAUCUCCAAAUUGUAGUCUGCUAACAACUCCAUCAAUCUACGCUGCC
rnacentral:lncRNA from 1 species